rnacentral:rRNA from 1 species
UACGGAGGGGGCUAGCGUUGUUCGGAAUUACUGGGCGUAAAGCGCACGUAGGCGGCUUUGUAAGUUAGAGGUGAAAGCCCGGGGCUCAACUCCGGAAUUGCCUUUAAGACUGCAUCGCUAGAAUUGUGGAGAGGUAAGUGGAAUUCCCGGUGUAGCGGUGAAAUGCGCAGAUAUCGGGAAGAACACCUAUGGCGAAGGCAGCUCUCUGGGACGGUACUGACGCUGAGACGCGAAAGCGUGGGGAGCGAACAGG